rnacentral:rRNA from 1 species
UACGUAGGGUGCGAGCGUUAAUCGGAAUUACUGGGCGUAAAGCGUGCGCAGGCGGUUUUGUAAGCCAGAUGUGAAAUCCCCGGGCUCACCUGGGAACUGCAUUUGUGACUGCAUAGCUAGAGUACGGUAGAGGGGAUGGAAUUCCGCGUGUAGCAGUGAAAUGCGUAGAUAUCAGGAGGAACACCGAUGGCGAAGGCAGGUCUCUGGGCUGACACUGACGCUCAUGCACGAAAGCGUGGGAGCAAACAGG